rnacentral:rRNA from 1 species
UCUUCGUCGGCAGCGUCAGAUGUGUAUAAGAGACAGGACAGCUAGGAGGUUGGCUUAGAAGCAGCCAUCCUUUAAAGAAAGCGUAACAGCUCACUGAUCAAGCGCCUCUGCGCGGAAAAUGUAUCGGGACUAAAGUUAUUCGCCGAAAUUGCGGACUCGAAAGAGUGGUAGCGGAGCGUUCCGUAAGCCUGUGAAGGUGAACCGUGAGGUUUGCUGGAGGUAUCGGAAGUGAGAAUGCUGACAUGAGUAGCGACAAACAGGGUGAGAGACCCUGUCGCCGAAAGACCAAGGGUUCCUGCGUAAAGCUAAUCUGCGCAGGGUUAGCCGGCCCCUAAGGCAAGGCCGAAAGGCGUAGUCGAUGGGAACCACGUUAAUAUUCGUGGGCCAAGGGAUGAGUGACGGAUUUCGAAAGUUGUAUUCCCUUAUUGGAUUGGGAAUGCAGCCUGGAAGUUCCUGGAAAUAGCCUCCCUAUAAGACCGUACCCGAAACCGACACAGGUGGUCAGGUAGAGCAUACCAAGGCGCUUGAGAGAACUAUGUUGAAGGAACUCGGCAAAUUACCUCCGUAACUUCGGGAGAAGGAGGCCUCAAUCUGGGCAACCAGGUCUGAGGGGCACAAAACUGGGGGUUGCGACUGUUUAUCAAAAACACAGGGCUCUGCGAAGCCGUAAGGCGACGUAUAGGGUCUGACGCCUGCCCGGUGCCGGAAGGUUAAAAGGAGGUGUGCAAGCACUGAAUUGAAGCCCCGGUGAACGGCGGCCGUAACUAUAACGGUCCUAAGGUAGCGAAAUUCCUUGUCGGGUAAGUUCCGACCUGCACGAAUGGCGUAACGACUUCCCCACUGUCUCCAACAUAGACUCAGCGAAAUUGAAUUCCCCGUGAAGAUGCGGGGUACCCGCGGUCAGACGGAAAGACCCCGUGAACCUUUACUACAGCUUCACAGUGGCAUUAAAGAACUUAUGUGUAGGAUAGGUGGGAGGCUUUGAAGCUGUGUCGCCAGAUGCAGUGGAGCCAACCUUGAAAUACCACCCUUAAUUUCUUUGAUGUCUAACCGCGCCCCUGGAUGGGGCCGGGACCCUGUGUGGCGGGUAGUUUGACUGGGGCGGUCGCCUCCUAAAGAGUAACGGAGGCGCGCGAUGGUAGGCUCAGACCGGUCGGACAUCGGUCGUUGAGUGCAAUGGCAUAAGCCUGCCUGACUGUGAGAUCGACAGAUCGAACAGAGACGAAAGUCGGUCAUAGUGAUCCGGUGGUCCCGAGUGGAAGGGCCAUCGCUCAACGGAUAAAAGGUACUCCGGGGAUAACAGGCUGAUGAUGCCCAAGAGUCCAUAUCGACGGCAUCGUUUGGCACCUCGAUGUCGGCUCAUCACAUCCUGGGGCUGGAGCAGGUCCCAAGGGUUUGGCUGUUCGCCAAUUAAAGUGGUACGUGAGCUGGGUUCAGAACGUCGCGAGACAGUUUGGUCCCUAUCUGCCGUGGGCGUCGAUUGUUGAAAGGAGUUGCCCCUAGUACGAGAGGACCGGGGUGAACAUACCUCUGGUGUACCUGUCAUCGCGCCAGCGGUGCAGCAGGGUAGCUAUGUAUGGACGGGAUAACCGCUGAAAGCAUCUAAGCGGGAAGCCUCCCUUGAGAUAAGCAAUCUUCGAACCGUCGUAGACCACGACGUUGAUAGGCCGGGUGUGGAAGCGCAGUAAUGCGUGUAGCUAACCGGUCCUAAUAGUUCUUUUCGCGCUU